GUGUGAACAGGGCGUGUGAGUGGGUUGAUUCCCGUUUUGCUUCAAUAUAUAAAGGCCAAAAUUUUAAACCGAAUGACACACCAACUUCUUCUCUGCUUCCGUAAGUCGUAUUGAAAAUGAAAAACUUCGCGUCGUUCGUUUGUUUGAUGCUCGUAUUGGUGGCUUCCACCUCCGCUUUGCCGGGAGUCGCUCGCGCUGCUCCACAAUGUCCGGAAAACGAAGCAGGCAACGUAGUUUUCUUCCCUGACACUACCAAUUGCCAGAAUUACUACAUGUGCUCGUGGGGCGUUGCCUACUUGAAAAGUUGCCCAGACAAUCUCUAUUGGAACAAAAACAUUAACGUUUGUGACCACCAAGUGAACGUCAAAUGUUAAACAACGAAUGCAAUCGAAAUGACCUACACGUAUUGACCAUUAAAAAAAUAAGAAAUGUGAAUUAAAUGAAUCAUUAAAAUACAAUAAGUGAGAAGUGAUGAGCAUCAGAAACAGAAA
rnacentral:lncRNA from 1 species